CCCGCUGAACUUAAGCAUAUCAAUAAGCGGAGGAAAAGAAACUAACAAGGAUUCCCUUAGUAACUGCGAGUGAAGAGGGAAAAGCUCAAAUUUAAAAUCUGGCAGUGUUUCGCUGUCCGAGUUGUUACCUAGAGAAGUGUAACCUGUGCUGGACCGAGUACAAGUUUCCUGGAUACGGAACAUCAUAGAGGGUGAGAAUCCCGUCCUUGACACAGGCCCCCAGUGCUUUGUGAUGCACUCUCGACGAGAGCGAGUUGUGUUGGGAAUGCAGCUCUAAAUGGGUGGUAAAUUCCAUCUAAAGCUAAAUAUAUGGCGAGAGACCGAUAGCGAACAAGUACCGUGAGGGAAAGAUGAAAAGAACUUUGGAAAGAGAGUUAAACAGUAUGUGAAAUUGUGUGAAAGGGAAACGUUUGAAGUCAGUCAUGUUGGCUGGGGAUCAGCCUGACAUUUAUGUUGGGUGUACUUCCUGGUUGACGGGCCAACAUCAGUUUUGACUGCCAGAAAAAGGCCAAGGGAAUGUGGCUCCUUUGGGUGUGUUAUAGGCUCUCGGUAGUAAGUGGUGAGUAUGGGCAUGAGGAAAGCAAGUGCACCGAAAGGCAGGGUAUAGCACGCAUUCGCGCUGAGGAUGCUGGCAUAAUGGCUUUAAGCGACCCGUCUUGAAACACGG
rnacentral:rRNA from 1 species